AUUGCCCUAGUAACGGCGAGUGAAGCGGCAACAGCUCAAAUUUGAAAUCUGGCCUUCGGGUCCGAAUUGUAAUUUGCAGAGGAUGCUUUUGGCGAGGUGCCUUCCGAGUUCCCUGGAACGGGACGCCUUAGAGGGUGAGAGCCCCGUACGGUUGGACACUAAGCCUCUGUAAAGCUCCUUCGACGAGUCGAGUAGUUUGGGAAUGCUGCUCUAAAUGGGAGGUAAAUUUCUUCUAAAGCUAAAUACCGGCCAGAGACCGAUAGCGCACAAGUAGAGUGAUCGAAAGAUGAAAAGCACUUUGAAAAGAGGGUUAAAUAGCACGUGAAAUUGUUGAAAGGGAAGCGUUUACGGCCAGACCUUUUCCUAGCGGAUCAUCUAGUGUUCUCACUGGUGCACUUCGUUAGGUUUAGGCCAGCAUCGGCUUCUGUAGAGGGAUAAAAGCAGUGGGAAAGUAGCUCUCUCGGGAGUGUUAUAGCCCUAAGCAUAAUACCUUUACGGGGGCCGAGGACCGCGCUUUUGCAAGGAUGCUGGCGUAAUGGUCGUCAACGACCCGUCUUGAAACACGGACCAAGGAGUCGAACAUUUGUGCGAGUGUUUGGGUGUUAAACCCUCACGCGUAAUGAAAGUGAACGGAGGUGAGAGCCCUUUACGGGGUGCAUCAUCGACCGAUCCUGAUGUCUUCGGAUGGAUUUGAGUAGGAGCAUUAAUGUUCGGACCCGAAAGAUGGUGAACUAUGCGUGGAUAGGGUGAAGCCAGAGGAAACUCUGGUGGAGGCUCGCAGCGGUUCUGACGUGCAAAUCGAUCGUCAAAUCUGCGCAUGGGGGCGAAAGACUUAUCGAACCAUCUAGUAGCUGGUUACCGCCGAAGUUCCCCCUCCGAGGUAUUA
rnacentral:rRNA from 1 species